CUUCAACGACCCCAGCCACAACGGCCGCUCCCGGUCCCGCCCGUACGUCGCGAUCAGCGCCUGCGCCUC
rfam:Streptomyces sp. DSM 15324 genomic scaffold PRJNA299231_s024, whole genome shotgun sequence.